CAGAGAAAAUACAGUAGAAGCCCUCUUAUCCAAAAUGAUUGAGACCAGCAGUUUGGUUAAUCAAAAAAACCCAUGUAAGCAUCUAGCAGUUGCUUACUAUUAUAAAUGAUGGAAUAAAUAUCUUUGUUGGAAUAAAUAUCUUUGUUGAUUUCAACUUUUAUAGUGAAUUCCAUAAGAAAGGGUGAAAGUGAACUCAAUACCCAGAUUGAAAAGUGCUUAUUAACAUUUUGCCCUGCGUGUGUGUAUGCAUGUAGUUUUUUGUUGUUGAUCUUUUUCUUUUGGCUGGGCCAUUUAAAAAGAAGUCUUAUUUUGAGUCCUUACUUCUAGAAACUUCAAGUAUCUCCCUAGAAUUAGAAAUUCUCUAAAUUAUUACAGCUAAGUAUAUUAACAGUAACUUCACAGCAUCAUGUAAAUAAUUACCUAAUGUUCAUAUUUAGAAUAUUUUUCCUGUUGUCCCUGGAACAUCUUUUUAGUUAUUUUUCCU